rnacentral:rRNA from 1 species
AGAGUUUGAUCCUGGCUCAGGAUGAACGCUAGCGACAGGCCUAACACAUGCAAGUCGAGGGGCAGCGGGGAGCGAAGCUUGCUUUCUCCGCCGGCGACCGGCGCACGGGUGAGUAACACGUAUGCAACCUGCCCCUGUCAGGGGGACAACCCGCCGAAAGGCGGGCUAAACCCGCGUACAUGCCACCGGGGCAUCCCGGAGGCAGGAAAGGCUUCGGCCGGACAGGGAUGGGCAUGCGGCGCAUUAGGCAGUAGGCGGGGUAACGGCCCACCUAACCGACGAUGCGUAGGGGUUCUGAGAGGAAGGUCCCCCACACUGGUACUGAGACACGGACCAGACUCCUACGGGAGGCAGCAGUGAGGAAUAUUGGUCAAUGGUCGGGAGACUGAACCAGCCAAGCCGCGUGAGGGAGGAAGGUACAGAGUAUCGUAAACCUCUUUUGUCAGGGAACAAAGGCGGGGACGUGUCCCCGGAUGAGUGUACCUGAAGAAAAAGCAUCGGCUAACUCCGUGCCAGCAGCCGCGGUAAUACGGAGGAUGCGAGCGUUAUCCGGAUUUAUUGGGUUUAAAGGGUGCGCAGGCGGUCUGUUAAGUCAGCGGUCAAAGCCCGGGGCUCAACCCCGGCCCGCCGUUGAAACUGGCAGUCUCGAGUUGGAGAGAAGUAUGCGGAAUGCGCGGUGUAGCGGUGAAAUGCAUAGAUAUCGCGCAGAACUCCGAUUGCGAAGGCAGCAUGCCGGCUCCACACUGACGCUGAGGCACGAAAGCGUGGGUAUCGAACAGGAUUAGAUACCCUGGUAGUCCACGCAGUAAACGAUGAAUGCUGGCUGUCCGGGGGGAUUGACCCCUGGGUGGCGAAGCGAAAGCGAUAAGCAUUCCACCUGGGGAGUACGCCGGCAACGGUGAAACUCAAAGGAAUUGACGGGGGCCCGCACAAGCGGAGGAACAUGUGGUUUAAUUCGAUGAUACGCGAGGAACCUUACCCGGGCUCAAACGGGGAGUGACUCAGGCAGAGACGCCUGUUUCCCACGGGACACUCCCCGAGGUGCUGCAUGGUUGUCGUCAGCUCGUGCCGUGAGGUGUCGGCUUAAGUGCCAUAACGAGCGCAACCCCCGCGCGCAGUUGCUAACAGAUAACGCUGAGGACUCUGCACGGACUGCCGGCGCAAGCCGCGAGGAAGGCGGGGAUGACGUCAAAUCAGCACGGCCCUUACGUCCGGGGCGACACACGUGUUACAAUGGGUGGUACAGCGGGAAGCCAGGCGGCGACGCCGAGCGGAACCCGAAAUCCACUCUCAGUUCGGAUCGGAGUCUGCAACCCGACUCCGUGAAGCUGGAUUCGCUAGUAAUCGCGCAUCAGCCAUGGCGCGGUGAAUACGUUCCCGGGCCUUGCACUCACCGCCCGUCA